rnacentral:ncRNA from 1 species
CCUGUGGAGCGUCAUAAAAAACGCAAGUAGUGUCGACAAAAAGCGGACGCGCUGAAGCAGGAA